GAUGAACGCUGGCGGCGUGCCUAAUACAUGCAAGUCGAGCGAACGGACGAGAAGCUUGCUUCUCUGAUGUUAGCGGCGGACGGGUGAGUAACACGUGGAUAACCUACCUAUAAGACUGGGAUAACUUCGGGAAACCGGAGCUAAUACCGGAUGAUAUUUUGAACCGCAUGGUUCAAAAGUGAAAGACGGUCUUGCUGUCACUUAUAGAUGGAUCCGCGCUGCAUUAGCUAGUUGGUAAGGUAAUGGCUUACCAAGGCAACGAUGCAUAGCCGACCUGAGAGGGUGAUCGGCCACACUGGAACUGAGACACGGUCCAGACUCCUACGGGAGGCAGCAGUAGGGAAUCUUCCGCAAUGGGCGAAAGCCUGGCGGAGCAACGCCGCGUGAGUGAUGAAGGUCUUCGGAUCGUAAAACUCUGUUAUUAGGGAAGAACAUAUGUGUAAGUAACUGUGCACAUCUUGACGGUACCUAAUCAGAAAGCCACGGCUAACUACGUG
rnacentral:rRNA from 1 species